UACAGAGGUGGCGAACGUUGUUCGGAUUUACUGGGCGUAAAGGGUGCGUAGGUGGACGGGUAUGUUGGAUGUGAAAUACCAAGGCUUAACCUUGGAAUUGCAUUCAAAACUGCAAGUCUGGAGUGCAGGAGGGGAGAGCGGAAUUCUUGGUGUAGCGGUGAAAUGCGUUGAUAUCAAGAAGAACACCGGUGGCGAAGGCGGCUCUCUGGUCUGCGACUGACACUGAGGCACGAGAGCUAGGGGAGCAAACAGG
rnacentral:rRNA from 1 species